CGUGAAGAUGCUCAAAUGGAAGAACAGUUACCUCAAAUGAGCUAUAUGUACUUUUCAGGAAAUCCCUCAACUAAAAUUACCUCAGUCCCUUAACAAUUUUUUUCGUGAGAUUCAGGGCCUGUGGAGGUGUCUUCGGGCAACCAAAGCAGCUUCAGUGACAAGGCAGAGGACGUUGACGACAUCCUCGACUUUGCAUUUGCUUCCUUUAAACGUUCGCCCUUUGUAGUUCUCGAAGUUGGCCAUGCAGCUCAUUCUCCACUGUCUGUGCCCGACGCUGCUCGCCCUUGACGAGUUCCUCGACGAAUCUCCACACGGAGUCGGGCCUCAAGUCCCUCGACGAGUUCCUCUCCGGCAAGACCUACAUCUCCGGAGAUCAGCUCACGAAGGAGGAAGGACGACAUCAAGGUGUACGCCGCGGUUCUCGAAAGCCCGGAGGCUCGUUCCCGAACGCCGGCAAGUGGUACCGUCAUUUGUGCUCUCCCACAAAGGAAUGCGCAACAAUUACAAAGUUCAGCUGCAAAUUCGAAAGUACAUUUGCAAACCAAUUCGGUACCAAAGACAGAACUAGGAGGGUGGACGUCAGUGAAGUCAGAAAAAGCAACUUUUGCUUCUAAUAUGCCAAUUAUGAAGCACGGGCAAAAAGAUGUGUUAUCAAACAGAAAGGUCAGGGUGGAUGAAAGAAGCUGUCGACUUGCUAUUGAGUCAGAUGAGGAGAUUGACAGUGGAUUUCCUUGCUUGCUUGAUGACAGGGAGACGGAUAAGGGUAGCUCCAUAACAGAUGAAGUCAAGGUAGAGACGGCGCGUAUUCUAAGGAAAGCAAGGAAACAAAAGUGGAGGUCUUCCAAAACUAUAGUCAUUGUUGAAGGUCAGUAACUCCUUUUCUAUAUGAGUUGCCACACAUUUAGUAGUUCCUGCCCGUAGACUAGUAGAUGUCUGCAAAUAAUAUUCUCUCCAGCCUUGUGCUUCAAGUCAGGAAGAAUUAUAAGUCAUGGCAGAUACAAUUACAUCUUGUAGUACCCUUAUCAUUGUAAUUCAAAGCAUUAUCGAAGAUUCGUUUGUUGUUUAUUGGCCAAUGAUACUGCAGUAGACAAAGUGGUAUUUGUUUGUAAUGCCUAAUUCAUGCCCACUGGGGGGUUACUGGAUAGGCCAAUGCUUCUUCCAUAGUUCACCGUAGCUUGGUGUUGGAAAUAAGGCUCAAUUCCUGGCAGAGAGGAGACAAGCUUCUUGGAAAAGCAGAUACAGUUCUGCCGAAUAACCACCAUAAGGUGACAGAAAUACACAAUUUUAGUCAUGAUGAUUUGAUGACCGAAGAUAUAUUUGUCUUGGAUUGUCACUCAGCAAUCUUUGUCUGGGUGGGACAACAAGUUGACUCCAAGAUGAAAAUGCAUGCUUUAACCAUUGGAGAGCUUUCAGUGAUCACUGAGGAGCGGGAUAAAUAUCAAACUCUUGUCAAUGAGCUGAAGAAGCCAGAGAAAGAUGAAACUGGGAGUAAAGUGGCAAAUGAGUUGCAGUUGUCUCUUGCCAAGAAGGAAUGCUGUAUCAAAGAAAUGGAGAGCAGUUUAAAUGAGCAAAAGGAAGCUAAUAAUCGGCAACGGGAGGAGAUUUAAAUGAGAGGCUAAAUAAUGAAGCAAGAAGGAUAAAAUCAACCGGAAAGGGAAAGUGAUUGGCUUAGAUCAGAAAUUUCUCUUUUGGAGUCAAAGCUGGGUCAUGGUGAUUUUUCUGCCACAAGUACAAAAGUACUGCGCAUGGUGAAUACUCUUGCAAUUGAUAAUGAGGCAAAGCAAACCAUUCAAGGGGCAGGUCUCCUGCUUUCAAUGCACUAGUUGCUAAUUUUGAGAAUCAAUUGCAAGAAAUCUCUCAACUCCACCACCAGUUGUCAGGAAGAUCUUUCCAAAGUCUGUCACCCUUGAUUCAACGAAACUGGCUUCCAAAUCUUCAGCUAUAGCAGCUAUCAGUUCCACUUUUGAGAAAUCACCACCAGGCUUCCAAAUCUUCAGCUAUAGCAGCUAUCAGUUCCACUUUUGAGAAAUCACCACCAAUACGAAGUCAUCAUACCCAAAUCUAUCAAAGGUACACCAUAACUUAUAAAUUAAUGCUUAGGGAAAUACACCAACAGCCGACUAUUGUUUCUAUGGAGUUUUAUUUGAUCAUCUUGUUUUACCGGGCAGUGAAUCCUAAGACACCAAAACAGAAUUCAGAGCCUAAUAACAAAGAGAACUCAUGCUUGGUCGAAGUUUGUUGCUUGCAUCAGUGAUUUUCUUGUAUUUGUCACAACAAAAGUUGCUAAGUUGCCAUCAUUUUUCUGA